UACGUAGGUGGCAAGCGUUGUCCGGAUUUAUUGGGUUUAAAGGGUGCGUAGGCGGCCCUGUAAGUCAGUGGUGAAAUACGGCAGCUCAACUGUCGAGGUGCCAUUGAUACUGCAGGGCUUGAGUACAGACGAGGUAGGCGGAAUUGAUUGUGUAGCGGUGAAAUGCAUAGAUACAAUCAAGAACACCGAUUGCGUAGGCAGCUAACUAGGCUGUAACUGACGCUGAGGCACGAAAGCGUGGGGAGCGAACAGG
rnacentral:rRNA from 1 species